GUCCUCGCUACGGCAGGGCAUAUUUGUACUAAAAUUGGAACGAUACAGAGAAGAUUAGCAUGGCCCCAGUGCAAGGACAUUACAUAAAAAGAAAAUUGUUUAU
rnacentral:snRNA from 1 species